rnacentral:rRNA from 2 species
GCAAGUCGAGCGGACGGAUGGGAGCUUGCUCCCUGAAGUCAGCGGCGGACGGGUGAGUAACACGUGGGCAACCUGCCUGUAAGACUGGGAUAACUCCGGGAAACCGGGGCUAAUACCGGAUAACUCUUUUCCUCACAUGAGGAAAAGCUGAAAGAUGGUUUCGGCUAUCACUUACAGAUGGGCCCGCGGCGCAUUAGCUAGUUGGUGAGGUAACGGCUCACCAAGGCCACGAUGCGUAGCCGACCUGAGAGGGUGAUCGGCCACACUGGGACUGAGACACGGCCCAGACUCCUACGGGAGGCAGCAGUAGGGAAUCUUCCGCAAUGGACGAAAGUCUGACGGAGCAACGCCGCGUGAGUGAUGAAGGUUUUCGGAUCGUAAAACUCUGUUGUCAGGGAAGAACAAGUACCGGAGUAACUGCCGGUACCUUGACGGUACCUGACCAGAAAGCCACGGCUAACUACGUGCCAGCAGCCGCGGUAAUACGUAGGUGGCAAGCGUUGUCCGGAAUUAUUGGGCGUAAAGCGCGCGCAGGCGGUUCCUUAAGUCUGAUGUGAAAGCCCCCGGCUCAACCGGGGAGGGUCAUUGGAAACUGGGGAACUUGAGUGCAGAAGAGAAGAGUGGAAUUCCACGUGUAGCGGUGAAAUGCGUAGAGAUGUGGAGGAACACCAGUGGCGAAGGCGACUCUUUGGUCUGUAACUGACGCUGAGGCGCG